AUCACAAGACAUGACAGACAAGAACUUGGACUGCACCUGGUUUUGGCAGGUUGUUGGUGAAUCGCAGUAGAAUUGAUCAAUAAUGAUGGGGUUGGCAACAUCUUCCAUCCUCACAUUUUCGAAACGCACCCCACGAACAUAACCGGAACCACCCUUUAUUUAAGAAUCACAAGGAGAUACAUGUCAUUCUCAAAGAGAUGAAUUGGUAUGAGUGCUAUAUUCUUGUUUUUUCAGAAAAACAGAUGCAAGGGAAGACAAAAGACAAGGUUUAAGAACCUGUUCCUAUUUUGCAGUCUUGAAGAACAACAUUAGUUGAUCCAGUUAUGUGGAUCCCAUCAGUGUUUGGACUGUCUCCUGGAGAUGAGACUCGUACUUCAUAUACUCGUACAGAUUCAGACUUGGAAAUGACGAAAUUCAUCUGUUGGCUGUUCUGAAUGAUGCCCACCAUUUGCCGCCAGAGCCAUCAAUAACU